rnacentral:rRNA from 1 species
CCUACGGGAGGCAGCAGUGGGGAAUAUUGGACAAUGGGCGAAAGCCUGAUCCAGCAAUGCCGCGUGAGUGAUGAAGGCCUUAGGGUCGUAAAGCUCUUUUACCAGGGAUGAUAAUGACAGUACCUGGAGAAUAAGCUCCGGCUAACUCCGUGCCAGCAGCCGCGGUAAUACGGAGGGAGCUAGCGUUGUUCGGAAUUACUGGGCGUAAAGCGUACGUAGGCGGUUAUUCAAGUCAGAGGUGAAAGCCCGGGGCUCAACCCCGGAACGGCCUUUGAAACUAGAUAGCUAGAGUCUUGGAGAGGUCAGUGGAAUUCCGAGUGUAGAGGUGAAAUUCGUAGAUAUUCGGAAGAACACCAGUGGCGAAGGCGACUGACUGGACAAGUACUGACGCUGAGGUACGAAAGCGUGGGGAGCAAACAGGAUUAGAUACCCUGGUAGUCCACGCCGUAAACGAUGAUAACUAGCUGUCCGGGUACUUGGUAUCUGGGUGGCGCAGCUAACGCAUUAAGUUAUCGCCUGGGGAUACGGUCGCAGAUUAAACUCAAAGGAAUUGACG